GUAGGUUUUGUCAAUAUUUUCACCUCAAUUUACUCUAAAAAAAUGUGCAAUGCUAAUUAUUGAUAAAAGUAAAAUAUUUGCGCGGUUAUCAAAACGUAAUGACAGGGUAAACCUACAUGAAACACAGACCUUAUAUACAGUAGUUCUAAAAUCCCAUAUGGAAAAAUGAAUGGUGAAAUAACGAUUGAAACCAUUUUCCGGGUUUUAUGACUCAUACGGUGGUACUCCAUAUAGCCAAGCCUUCAAUAUUGGGGACAAGCCGGCUUUGAUCGUAGUGUAAUGACACAGGCAGAGAGAGUGAGUGGUCGAAGAACCAUCAACCUUCUGGCCCGUAACCCUGUGUGGCAUCAAUUGUGCCACUACAAAAACAUGCUGAAGUGGAAAAGUCGAUAUCCACAUUUAUAAACACAAGGCCAAUCAAGGAAUUCAGCUAAUGAAGCUAGCAGAAAACCUCUUAGUUGCACUGAGAUAUUCAUGGUCGUUGUGAAGCAAAGUGGAACGACAUUUGCAUGCAUGAUGCGGUGAAUUGUGCGUAACAAGCUGAUGCCGGGGUCAGCGGAGCUCCCAAGUGACCAGCGACAGGGCCAACAGCCAACUGACUGCCUUCUCUACUCUGACCUCCCUUCGUUAGUAACCCCCUCCCUGGGCUUCUCCUCAGACCUGGGGCUGCUAGGGGGACCUAUUUGUGGUCCGCCACUCGUCUGAGGGGAAGGGGAUAGAGACUGAAGGAACAACAGCUGCUGAUGGGGACAUCACGCUUCCCAUGGAAGAGCAGCAUCCUCCUGAGAGAAGGUGCUGUAAUCUGCAAUAAUCGAAUUCUCAGACAUGCAUGAUAGCCAUAGUAUGUCUCGAAGCCACAUUGUACGUGAGUGAACACAUGACAUUGAACAUAUUGACACAUGACGUCGUGUGAUCUAUAUUGUAUUUACAAAAACAAUCAACAGUGCAAGUCAUAUGAUGAUCUUACAUGGAAAGCUCUUGAAAACGUUCACAGACACACACAAACAGAGAUAUAAAAGCAGUGUUAAAUAGACAAAGUGUUAUUAAAUGUAUUUUGUGUAAAGAGAAUCUUCUGGGGUGCCAGAGGAAUGCAAAGAAUUGUAGGCACUUUUUUCUGACAUGGUAUAGUGAUGCCAUCUAGAGUUGCAAUGUGUAACAUUCACACACAGCAAAGAGCCCAGUGGGUUCACUAGUAGCAAUACAAGGUGACAUCAUCUGUCUGAUAAACAGUCUUGUCUGUUUAAUAAUUUAUUUAAUAAAGUGUUAUUUACUUAAUUGACUUAAUUUUGAGUGAAUCUGGAUUCUGCUUAUUCCACAUAUUCAACUUGGUUCAAAAAAAUCAUACAUGUAUGAAAAAAAGUCAACAAUCCUAAAUUGGUUUAGACAUGAUUCUUCCGC
rnacentral:lncRNA from 1 species